rnacentral:tRNA from 1 species
GGUCGGAUGGUGUAGUUGGUUCAUCACAUCUCCUUAACACGGAGAAGGUCCUGGGUUCGAACCCCAGUCUGAUCA